UAUGUACUCCAGAUGUGAUAACUGACAUUAUUUACUCCAGAUGUGAUAUUGACAUUAUUUACUGCAGAUGUGAUACUGACAUUAUUUACUCCAGAUGUGACACUGACAUUAUUUACUCCAGAUGUGAUGCUGACAUUAUUUACUCCAGAUGUGACACUGACAUUAUGUACUCCAGAUGUGAUACCUGACGUUAUUUACACCAGAUGUGAUGUCUGACGUUAUUUACUCCAGAUGUGAUACUGACAUUACUUACUCCAGAUGUGACACCGACAUUAUGUACUCCAGAUGUGAUAACUGACAUUAUUUACUCCAGAUGUGAUACCUGACAUUACUUACUCCAGGUGUGAUACCUGACAUUAUUUACUGCAGAUGUGAUACCUGACAUUAUUUAGUCCAGAUGUAAUAUUGACAUUAUUUACUCCAGAUGUGAUACCUGACUGAGAAGUCUACAGUGGCACCUUUGCAGUACAGAACUCUGGCCAAAAAUAUUCAACCUGCAUCUAAUCUUGUGUAAGCAACCAGAUUAACCCACAUAUGGGACACUCUACAAGACAACUGGCCUGGACUCUUUAUCAAAAACUGAUUUCACAUAAACAAAGAACAAUAACAACAAUAAAAAGGCGAAAGACUGUUUUAGAUGAAAAGAGACUGAAGAGACAUAACAACCAAAUAUCAUACAUGAUCUUGAUUGGAUCCUGGAUAGGAAAAAAAAAAUCCAGCGUUAAAAGCUCUUCCGGGGACAAUUGUAGAGAUUUGAAUACAGAUAGUACACUGGGUGCUAUUACGGUUGUGACCACGGUAUUGUGGUUUUGUGGGAGAAUAUCCUUAUUAGGAGAUGCUGAGAUAUCUAGAAGUGAAGUGUCAAGAUGUCAGCAACUUGCUUUCAAAUUGCUCGGCAAAAUAAAAGUAUGUGGAAAUAUACAAAGACAGAGAGACCAAGAGAGACAAAGCAAUUGCGGCAAAAUGUUAACAGUUGGAGAAUCCAGGCUCUGAUGGGCCAGGGGUCCAAGAUCAAGGUGUCAGCAGGGCCACACUCCCUCUGGAGGCUCCAAGAAGAGUCUGCUCCUGCCUCUUCCAGGCCAUCCUGGCUUGUGGCUGCAACUCCCAAGUCGCUGCCUCUGCCUUCACGUGGCCUUCUCCUCUUCCAUCUCUGUGUCUCUCCUCUGCACGUCUCAUAUAAGGACAUUCAUCCUGGGAUUUACAACCCAUCCUAGAUAAUGAUCCCAAGAAUCAUUUCAUCUCAAGAUCUUUAACUUGAACCAGGCACAGUGGCUCACGCCUGUAAUCUCAGCAUUUUGAGAGGCCGAGGCAGGUGGAUCACUUGAGCCCAGGAGUUCAAGACCAGUGUGGGCAACUUAGGGAGACCUCAUCUCUACAAAAAAUACACACAAAAAAUUAACCAGGAGUGGUGGAGUGCAACCCUAGUCCCAGCUACUCGGGAGGCUGAGGCCAGAGGAUCGCUUGAGCCUGGGAGGUUCAGGCUGCAGUGAGCCGUGAUUGUGCCACUGCCUUCCAGCCUGGAUGACACAGUGAGACCCUAUCUCACACACACACACACACACACACACACACGAUCCUUAAGACCAGCCUGGGCAACAUAGGGAGCUUCACGCGCAGCAGGUGCUCAUUCAAUGUUGUAAAUUACAUUUGCAAAGACCCUUUUUCCAAAUAAGGUCACACUUCUGGGUCCCAGGAAUUAUAAUGUAGAUGUAUCUUUUGGGGGGCCACCAUUAGACGCACUACAGUAUGAGACUUUCACAGACCACGGGGGACAGGAGGCAGCGGUUAAGCCUUGUUUCUUUCUGACUUGUCAAUGGCGCCCUGUGGUGAGGGCCACUCAUACUGGAACUGUGCUGAGAAACCCAUCCCUCCCUCCAGCUCUCACUGCCGAAGAAAAUAGGCAUUCUGAGAAAUGCUAGUGGGCCCCAACCCCUUCCUAGCCAUGCAAGCGACCCCCUCUUCAGGACCUAUUUCCAAGCCCCCUGCUUUGAGGCCCAUGCUGUUCAUCCCAGACCCCAGCUGCCUCACUCUCCAUUGAGUCCUAUGACCCUGAGCCUUGAUUUCACUUGCUCAAACCCCUCAUAAGCAUUUGCUGGCUGUCCAAUGUACUUUGGACCCCAGGCUUAUGAGAAAACUCAUCUGGCAAUUAAUCCUACACUCACCUUGGACCAGUUCUGCGAAGUCCCAGAUUCCUGUGGGGAGAGUGGGCAUUUCAAAAGCGUAGAGAAGCUAACAAGCCUCUCGUCAAAAUCACCCUCAAAGAUCACCUAUAAACCACCAGAAGCCAGGACCGUGAAGUUCAAAAGCAGAAAUCCACCUGUUACCUGCAGGGAGAGGAUCCCUGGCCCUGGGGCAGGUCGACUUUGGUGAUGAAGGGAGGGAGGAGGAGGGAAAUGGAUUUGUUACAGAGAUUUUGAUCUUUUCUUCCUUCGCCUCUGGAUUUUAUAAGUGGCUUUCCUGGACUAAGCCCCCAGGCAUGUGUGUGGCAAUCACUGUAUUUUAUUCUCUUGGAUGAGCUGCCUUGAGAACAAGGCUCCUGAGGGCAGAAAGAAGCUCCCCUAUCUCCCCGUGAGUGGGUCACAGGGUAGCCUGUGCAAGGCUGGGCAGGGCAGGCGCUGGAUAAAGUCACUGGGGAGAGGGGAGGAAGGGGGCAGGAGGUCCACACCUGUGGGUCCCACGACUCAGGCGACCCCUUAAGGGACUGCUGUCACCAAGAGGAAUACUGGGGUGAGCUUUCCCACCUCCCCACCCAGAUCCGUUGUCCCCUCUGGGUCACGCAUGUGUCCAAAGCCAUGACAGGGACAGACAAAGGCCCACACGACGUGGGCCCACACUCGGUUCCAGGGCUGAGUCCUGUGCCCAGCGCCUGACACAGCUCCACGCCCAGCUGGUGCUCAUUCAAUGCUGAAUGCCUCAGAGAAUCUUCAGGCCUGCCAUUCUCAGCCAGGGCCUUGAGAGUCCCCGCAUUAGUCAGGUUUCCCCAGAGAAACAGAACCAAUGGGAUGUGGACAGGGAGAGAGAGAGAGGGAGAGACAGAGGGAGAAAGAGAGGUUGAUGUUAAGGAACCGGCUCACUGAUUGUGGAGGCGGGCAAGCCCACAUCUGCAGGGUAGGCCUGGGCGCCAGGGACCCAGAAAGAGCUGAUGCUGCAGUUCUAGUCCCAAAGCCAUCUGCUGACAAAUCCCCCCUCUCAGGAAUGUUUUUCUUUUCCAAGGCGAGGAAGAGGUGGGAGGUGAAGGGUGAGGGUCAGUCUUUGUCUUCAGGUCUUCAACAGAUGGAGCAGGACCCGCCCGCCCGGUGAGGUAAUCUGCUUCACUCAGCACUCAUCCACUGAUUCAGAUGUUACUCUUACCAAAAAAUACUUUCCCAGAUACAUCUAGAAUAAUGGCUGAUCAAAUAUCCGGGUACCAUGGUCCAGCCAAAUUGAUGCAUAAAAUUAUCCUCCCACUUCCCCGCCCCUGGCCCCUGCAAGGCCCUCCGCAGUUCUCUGAGGAGUCUGGAUCUCCACCUUCUCCUCUUUGCCCUCCCGCUUCCAGGCUCUGCAACCCUGAGGCUCUUCCCUGCCCUGUUCUACCCAAAGGGGCCUCAGGGACUUGAAUUCCUCCUUCUUGGACCUUUUUCUCUUUCCAGUCAGUGGAUCCCAUCAGUUCGAGGGCUUCUGGAAUGAUGUUUUCCCCAAGAAGCCUCUCCUGUAUAAAACUGGGGGUUGUUGGCUGUGCCCAGAGGAUGGGGGUGGCUUCCCUGCCCUCUCCACCCCCCACACCCCUGCCCCCUUCCCCCUGCAUCACUGCCGGCCUGGACGGGGGGUGGGGGUUGGGGGAAUAUAAGCCCUGGACUGGGUGCCCUUAUCUUGCUUUAAUUUCCUCUAAAGCUCAGCACCAUGUGAGGUUACAGUAGUGGCCGAUCUUGUUUACUCUUUCUGUCCUACCGGAGUAUAAGCUCCGGGGGGCAGGGACUUCAUUCCCAGAGCCUAGCCCAGGACCUGCACACGGAGGCACUCAGGGUGUUUGUUGAUUGAAUGAAAAACGUUCACUGAACACCUCUGCUGUGCAGCACACACUGUGCCAGGGCGUGGACGAAAGCUCAGCUGCCCAGGCCAUUGACUAUUUCUGAGCAUUUCCACUCUCACGUUGUAUACCCCUCGUUUCUCUCUUCCUGGAGGGGCUCCCUACCUGAGUGCGGGAAUCAUCUUCCUUCCUCUCUCCUGGAGUCUGCCCUGACUUGGUGUCUCAAGACAGGGACUGGGUCCCCUUUGAGCCCCUGGAGGAAUGUGAACUGAGCAGAUGAGGAGAUGCCUCCUGUCUACUUGGAGGAAAGGGACCAGGACACACAGAGGUUCAGGGGGCUGAACCCUCGGUUCCAUCCGGAGUGACGCGGUUCAGAGACUUUGCAGAGGAAAGGGGCGCGGGAUGUGCUUUGGGAAUAGAGUUCCACCUUUGCACCCGGCUCAGCACCUGUCCUGCCCUCCGGAGAUUCCUUGAGUCCACCUGGAUCCGAGAGGAGAAGCUGUUGAUCAUUUCCUGUCCCCUGAGGCUGUGAUCCCCGGCCGACCGGACCGGUGGCCCUGCAGCGCCCCCUGGUGGCCGGCGACGCUCAGCCAGCGCAGGUAAUCGCCGCCCAGGCCAAGGACCAGAAUCAGGAGCAGGAUCAGGGUCAGGGUCAGGGCCAGGGCCAGGGCCAGGGCCAGGGCGGGAGGGAGAUUUAUCCCCGUGCACACCUCUAACUUAUCCCUCCUACACAAGGCAGGACUCCGGCUUCUUUCCCUUUUCUGUGUAUUUCAAAAGGAAUGUACAUUGAGCAUAAAAAAUAUAUGAAAACAAAAAGAAGCCCCCAGUCAAAGCUGUGAUACUGUGUCCCAGCAGGACCAGCCAGGCCUGGGUCUCAAUCCCAGACCUGCCAUCUACCAGCUGACUGAAUCUGAACAAGACGCUUAACUCUCCGAGCCACAGUUUCUGCAUCUGCAGCCUGGGAAUGGUGUGCUCUCCAUUGCUGGGUUGUGUAAAGAUGGCCUAUGUACCCAGCACAUAGGAGAGCCCCAACUGAUGGAGGCAAUUCUUGUUAGACACAAAGGGGAAUCUGUUAAAUGUCCUUCAGUUUCUGCUCAGGUGUUCCCCGGGCGGUGAGAGAUGUUCCCAAAGAUAUAACUGCCUGCCUGAUCGCCCAAGCAAAGACUGUAUUUCCCAGACUUUCUGGCAGCCAGAGUUGGUCACAGGGCUAAUUCUGGUCCAUGGAAUGUGGCUGGAAAUGAUGUGUCCAACUUGCGAGUCACGCCCUGCAAAGGAGGUUGUCUCCCCCUCCAUUCUGCUUUUCCAUCUUCUUGCUGGCUGAGAAGUGGACGGUCCGGGAUCAGCUGCCCUGGAGAAGCCACAUGUUGAGGAUGGUAGAGCCUCCCUGACACCCCAGAACCACUGACAUCUGAAGAAAUAAAUAUUCCUAAGCCAACGUA